AGAAAAUUAGUUUAUUAAAACACUUAUUUGUCAAGUAAGAAUAAUCAUUUUGAUAUUUUCUA
rnacentral:tRNA from 1 species